GACGAACGCUGGCGGCGUGCUUAACACAUGCAAGUCGAACGGAAAGGCCCUGCUUUUGUGGGGUGCUCGAGUGGCGAACGGGUGAGUAACACGUGAGUAACCUGCCCUUGACUUUGGGAUAACUUCAGGAAACUGGGGCUAAUACCGGAUAGGAGCUCCUGCUGCAUGGUGGGGGUUGGAAAGUUUCGGCGGUUGGGGAUGGACUCGCGGCUUAUCAGCUUGUUGGUGGGGUAGUGGCUUACCAAGGCUUUGACGGGUAGCCGGCCUGAGAGGGUGACCGGCCACAUUGGGACUGGGAUACGGCCCAGACUCCUACGGGAGGCAGCAGUGGGGAAUAUUGCACAAUGGGCGGAAGCCUGAUGCAGCAACGCCGCGUGCGGGAUGACGGCCUUCGGGUUGUAAACCGCUUUCGCCUGUGACGAAGCGUGAGUGACGGUGAUGGGUAAAGAAGCACCGGCUAACUAC
rnacentral:rRNA from 1 species